AAGGGUUCCUGUCCAACGUUAAUCGGGGCAGGGUGAGUCGACCCCUAAGGCGAGGCCGAAAGGCGUAGUCGAUGGGAAACAGGUUAAUAUUCCUGUACUUGGUGUUACUGCGAAGGGGGGACGGAGAAGGCUAUGUUAGCCGGGCGACGGUUGUCCCGGUUUAAGCAUGUAGGCUGGUUAUCCAGGCAAAUCCGGAUAAUCAAGGCUGAGGUGUGAUGACGAGGCACUACGGUGCUGAAGUAACAAAUGCCCUGCUUCCAGGAAAAGCCUCUAAGCAUCAGGUAACAUCAAAUCGUACCCCAAACCGACACAGGUGGUCAGGUAGAGAAUACCAAGGCGCUUGAGAGAACUCGGGUGAAGGAACUAGGCAAAAUGGUGCCGUAACUUCGGGAGAAGGCACGCUGGUGUGUAGGUGAAGUCCCUGCGGAUGGAGCUGAGACCAGUCGAAGAUACCAGCUGGCUGCAACUGUUUAUUAAAAACACAGCACUGUGCAAACACGAAAGUGGACGUAUACGGUGUGACGCCUGCCCGGUGCCGGAAGGUUAAUUGAUGGGGUUAUCCGUAAGGAGAAGCUCUUGAUCGAAGCCCCGGUAAACGGCGGCCGUAACUAUAACGGUCCUAAGGUAGCGAAAUUCCUUGUCGGGUAAGUUCCGACCUGCACGAAUGGCGUAAUGAUGGCCAGGCUGUCUCCACCCGAGACUCAGUGAAAUUGAACUCGCUGUGAAGAUGCAGUGUACCCGCGGCAAGACGGAAAGACCCCGUGAACCUUUACUAUAGCUUGACACUGAACAUUGAGCCUUGAUGUGUAGGAUAGGUGGGAGGCUUUGAAGCGUGGACGCCAGUCUGCGUGGAGCCAACCUUGAAAUACCACCCUUUAAUGUUUGAUGUUCUAACGUUGGCCCCUGACCGGGGUUGCGGACAGUGUCUGGUGGGUAGUUUGACUGGGGCGGUCUCCUCCCAAAGCGUAACGGAGGAGCACGAAGGUUAGCUAAUCCUGGUCGGACAUCAGGAGGUUAGUGCAAUGGCAUAAGCUAGCUUGACUGCGAGCGUGACGGCGCGAGCAGGUGCGAAAGCAGGUCAUAGUGAUCCGGUGGUUCUGAAUGGAAGGGCCAUCGCUCAACGGAUAAAAGGUACUCCGGGGAUAACAGGCUGAUACCGCCCAAGAGUUCAUAUCGACGGCGGUGUUUGGCACCUCGAUGUCGGCUCAUCACAUCCUGGGGCUGAAGUAGGUCCCAAGGGUAUGGCUGUUCGCCAUUUAAAGUGGUACGCGAGCUGGGUUUAGAACGUCGUGAGACAGUUCGGUCCCUAUCUGCCGUGGGCGCUGGAGAAUUGAGGGGGGCUGCUCCUAGUACGAGAGGACCGGAGUGGACGCAUCACUGGUGUUCGGGUUGUCAUGCCAAUGGCACUGCCCGGUAGCUAAAUGCGGAAGAGAUAAGUGCUGAAAGCAUCUAAGCACGAAACUUGCCCCGAGAUGAGUUCUCCCUGAGACUUUAAGUCUCCUGAAGGAACGUUAAAGACGAUGACGUUGAUAGGCCGGGUGUGUAAGCGCAGCGAUGCGUUGAGCUAACCGGUACUAAUGAACCGUGAGGCUUAACCUUACAACGCCGAAG
rnacentral:rRNA from 1 species